ACAUGCAAGUCGGAGNGGUAAGNCCUUCGGGUNACACGAGCGGCGAACGGGUGAGUAACACGUGAGCAACCUGCCCCUGACUCUGGGAUAAGCGGUGGAAACGCCGUCUAAUACCGGAUACGACCUUCCGCCUCAUGGUGGAGGGUGGAAAGUUUUUUCGGUCAGGGAUGGGCUCGCGGCCUAUCAGCUUGUUGGUGGGGUAACGGCCUACCAAGGCGAUUACGGGUAGCCGGCCUGAGAGGGCGACCGGCCACACUGGGACUGAGACACGGCCCAGACUCCUGCGGGAGGCAGCAGUGGGGAAUAUUGCGCAAUGGGCGA
rnacentral:rRNA from 1 species